rnacentral:rRNA from 1 species
GUUACGGCUCAGUAACACGUAGUCAACCUACCCUGGAGAUGCGGACAAGCCCGGGAAACUGGGAUUAAUACGCGAUAGAUGACUUCAUCUGGAAGGAGAGGUCGUCCAAAAGGUGGCGCGAGUAUGCUUUGCGCCUCCGCUCCAGGAUGGGACUGCGGCCGAUCAGGCUGUUGGCGGGGUAAUGGCCCACCAAACCUGUAACCGGUACGGGCUUUGAGAGAAGGAGCCCGGAGAUGGACACUGAGACAAGGGUCCAGGCCCUACGGGGCGCAUCAGGCGCGAAACCUUCGCAAUGCGCGAAAGCGUGACGAGGCUAAUCCGAGUGCCUUCCGCUGAGGAGGGCUUUUCUCGGCUGCAAAUAGGCCGGGGAAUAAGGGGAGGGCAAGUCUGGUGUCAGCCGCCGCGGUAAUACCAGCUCCUCGAGUGGUCGGGACGAUUAUUGGGCCUAAAGCACCCGUAGCCGGUUCUGUAAGUCCUCUGUUAAAUCCAACCGCCCAACGGUUGGCCUGCAGGGGAUACUGCAGGACUAGGAGGCGGGAGAGGCGGACGGUACUCCGCGUGUAGGGGUAAAAUCCUUUGAUCCGCGGAAGACCACCAGUGGCGAAGGCGGUCCGCCAGAACGCGCUCGACGGUGAGGGGUGAAGCUGGGGGAGCGAACCGGAUUAGAUACCCGGGUAGUCCCAGCCGUAAACGAUGCGAGCUAGAUGAUUCGAUCGCAGUUCGCGAUCGAAGUGUCGCAGGGAAGCCGUUAAGCUCGCCGCCUGGGGAGUACGGUCGCAAGGCUGAACG